rnacentral:rRNA from 1 species
UGCCAGCAGCCGCGGUAAAACGUAGGAGGCGAGCGUUAUCCGGAUUUACUGGGCGUAAAGCGUGUGUAGGCGGUACGGCAAGUUGGAUGUGAAAGCUCCUGGCUUAACUAGGAGAGGUCGUUCAAAACUACCGAACUUGAGUUUAUCAGAGGAAGAUGGAAUUCCCGGUGUAGUGGUGAAAUGCGUAGAUAUCGGGAGGAACACCAGUGGCGAAAGCGAUCUUCUGGGAUAAUACUGACGCUCAGACACGAAAGCUAAGGUAGCGAACGGGAUUAGAGACCCCGGUAGUCUUAGCAGUAAACGAUGUAGACUUGGUGUCGGAGGUGUCAAAGCCUUCGGUAUCGAAGCAAACGCGAUAAGUCUACCGCCUGGGGACUACGGCCGCAAGGUUAAAACUCAAAGAAAUUGACGG